rnacentral:rRNA from 1 species
UACGUAGGGGGCUAGCGUUGUCCGGAGUUAUUGGGCGUAAAGAGCGUGUAGGCGGCCAGGUAGGUCUGGUGUGAAAACUCGAGGCUUAACCUCGAGCUGUCGGCGGAAACCAUCUGGCUAGAGUCCGGAAGAGGAGAAUGGAAUUCCCGGUGUAGCGGUGAAAUGCGCAGAUAUCGGGAAGAACACCCGUGGCGAAGGCGGUUCUCUGGGACGGUACUGACGCUGAGGCGCGAAAGCGUGGGGAGCGAACAGG